rnacentral:rRNA from 1 species
GUAGGUGGCAAGCGUUGUCCGGAAUUAUUGGGCGUAAAGCGCGCGCAGGCGGUUCUUUAAGUCUGAUGUGAAAGCCCACGGCUUAACCGUGGAGGGUCAUUGGAAACUGGAGAACUUGAGUACAGAAGAGGAAAGCGGAAUUCCACGUGUAGCGGUGAAAUGCGUAGAGAUGUGGAGGAACACCAGUGGCGAAGGCGGCUUUCUGGUCUGUAACUGACGCUGAGGCGCGAAAGCGUGGGGAGCAAACAGGGAUUAGAUACCCUGGUAGUCCACGCCGUAAACGAUGAGUGCUAAGUGUUAGGGGGGUUUCCGCCCCCUUAGUGCUGCAGCUAACGCAUUAAGCACUCCGCCUGGGGAGUACGGCCGCAAGGCUG